CUCGUCGGGAGGCUGAACUGACUCGUCGAAGCAAAGCGCUGGCCCGACAAACAGGGAGCGGAUAAGAAGCGGCUCAUCGGGGCGCGGUGGCGCAAAGCGUCAAAGCCCGGUACUUGCGGGGAACAAUGCGGCGCAGUCCCGACAGGCACGAGCGUAGAGGCGGGUGCG
rfam:Cupriavidus basilensis strain 4G11 chromosome main, complete sequence.